GUCUUCUGUCAAAUUCUUCUUCUUCUUAUUGCUUGAAUGGCCCAAUCAGCAAUACAUGUGAUGGUAUCUUUUUUGUGAGAUUGUAAGGAACCGGAGGGAAGAAAAAAUAAUGUUUGAUUUAAUAUAUUAAAAAGUAAAUUAAAAUAAUACAAGAAAAAAGGGGAGAGGCAUCAUGCCUGUUAUGUUCAUCUGUCGCCAUGUUGAACUGCUCUAGUUCGGAUUGAAUGACGUCAGAAGAAGAAAAAAAUAAUAGUUUCGGCCUAUGCGUGUUCACGAGUGAAGGUGAUGAAUUUUGUAUGGUUUAAGAAAAAAAAAGUGACAACUAAUAUUUUUUUGUUAUAAUUAAAAUUUUAUUCUGCUCCAAGUGCAUUAUGCAAAAUAGGUUUUUCUAUAAAGAUUUAACGCUGGAUGGAGCCACAGUUGUUGUGAUGUGCAUCGUCUGUUGUGGUGGUAUUUGUUGCUGUUUUUAUGGUUGGUGUGGCCCUGGAUGUUGCCGCUUCGUUUAUGGUGAAGCCAACGGGGACUUGUUGUACGCCGGAUGGUGUUUGGACCAUGGAUUUUGUGACUACCGUAAUCCGCCUGUUUACUUGGACUUUUAGUUUGUUUUUUGUUACACAGAAGAUACUUUGUUUGUACCCACAGGUUGUUGGGACAGUUGAUAUUCAUUUAACCUUUGUAAGUUACUUAGUUCUCUUUAAUAAAUUUAUAUUUUGAUGAUGACUUCUAAUUGGUGGGAUUUUGCUGCAAUAAAACAAUGGUUAGUCGAUCAUGAACUGAAGAUUUCAUUAAACAUCAGUUUCGAAAGAAAGGAUGGGGCAAGGGAGUCGGAUCCCCGACACAAUGUGGGUGUACUCCCCUACGUGUUAAGAUGUUACAAAAAAUGCCAUCAUGUGUAUUGCUGAUUGGGCUAUUCAAGCAAUAAGAAGAAGAAUUUGACAGAUGACAUCUGUAUACAUUGUAGAACAUUACUGAAGCAGCAAAGAGCAGUAUUGUGCAGAUUUAGGGCCAAUACUGGGUAUUUGGUGAUACUCAAACUGCAGGUGCGACAAGUUUUUCACUAUCACAGUUCAGCAUGGAGUCAUAUUCAAGAACAAAGGUUUCUUGACUUGUUCAGCCCUUUAAGUACCAUGGAUGUACACAGAUGUCCUCUGUCAGAUUCUUCUUAUUCUUAUUGCUUGAAUAUAGGCCCAAUCGGCAAUACAUGUG
rnacentral:lncRNA from 1 species